rnacentral:rRNA from 1 species
GACGAACGCUGGCGGCGUGCCUAAUACAUGCAAGUUGAGCGAUGAAGCUUGGUGCUUGCUCCAAUUUGAAGAGCAGCGAACGGGUGAGUAACGCGUGGGGAAUCUGCCUUUGAGCGGGGGACAACAUUUGGAAACGAAUGCUAAUACCGCAUAACAACUUUAAACAUAAGUUUUAAGUUUGAAAGAUGCAAUUGCAUCACUCAAAGAUGAUCCCGCGUUGUAUUAGCUAGUUGGUGAGGUAAAGGCUCACCAAGGCGAUGAUACAUAGCCGACCUGAGAGGGUGAUCGGCCAAAUUGGGACUGGGACACGGCCCAAACCCCUACGGGAGGCAGCAGUAGGGAAUCUUCGGCAAUGGACGAAAGUCUGACCGAGCAACGCCGCGGGAGUGAAGAAGGGUUUCGGAUCGGAAAACUCUGUUGGUAGAGAAGAAAGUUGGUGAGAGUGGAAAGCGCAUAAAGUGACGGUAACUACCCAGAAAGGGACGGCUAACUACGUG